AUGAACGCUAGCGACAGGCUUAACACAUGCAAGUCGAGGGGCAGCACAGGUAGCAAUACCGGGUGGCGACCGGCGCACGGGUGAGUAACGCGUAUGCAACUUACCUAUCAGAGGGGAAUAACCCGGCGAAAGUCGGACUAAUACCGCAUGAAGCAGGGGCCCCGCAUGGGGAUAUUUGCUAAAGAUUCAUCGCUGAUAGAUAGGCAUGCGUUCCAUUAGGCAGUUGGCGGGGUAACGGCCCACCAAACCGACGAUGGAUAGGGGUUCUGAGAGGAAGGUCCCCCACAUUGGUACUGAGACACGGACCAAACUCCUACGGGAGGCAGCAGUGAGGAAUAUUGGUCAAUGGGCGUAAGCCUGAACCAGCCAAGUCGCGUGAGGGAUGAAGGUUCUAUGGAUCGUAAACCUCUUUUAUAAGGGAAUAAAGUGCGGGACGUGUCCCGUUUUGUAUGUACCUUAUGAAUAAGGAUCGGCUAACUCCGUGCCAGCAGCCGCGGUAAUACGGAGGAUCCGAGCGUUAUCCGGAUUUAUUGGGUUUAAAGGGUGUGUAGGCGGCCUUUUAAGUCAGCGGUGAAAGUCUGUGGCUCAACCAUAGAAUUGCCGUUGAAACUGGGAGGCUUGAGUAUGUUUGAGGCAGGCGGAAUGCGUGGUGUAGCGGUGAAAUGCUUAGAUAUCACGCAGAACCCCGAUUGCGAAGGCAGCCUGCCAAGCCAUGACUGACGCUGAUGCACGAAAGCGUGGGGAUCAAACAGGAUUAGAUACCCUGGUAGUCCACGCAGUAAACGAUGAUCACUAGCUGUUUGCGAUACAGUGUAAGCGGCACAGCGAAAGCGUUAAGUGAUCCACCUGGGGAGUACGCCGGCAACGGUGAAACUCAAAGGAAUUGACGGGGGCCCGCACAAGCGGAGGAACAUGUGGUUUAAUUCGAUGAUACGCGAGGAACCUUACCCGGGUUUGAACGCAUUCGGACCGAGGUGGAAACACCUUUUCUAGCAAUAGCCGUUUGCGAGGUGCUGCAUGGUUGUCGUCAGCUCGUGCCGUGAGGUGUCGGCUUAAGUGCCAUAACGAGCGCAACCCUUGCCACUAGUUACUAACAGGUAAAGCUGAGGACUCUGGUGGGACUGCCAGCGUAAGCUGCGAGGAAGGCGGGGAUGACGUCAAAUCAGCACGGCCCUUACAUCCGGGGCGACACACGUGUUACAAUGGCGUGGACAAAGGGAAGCCACCUGGCGACAGGGAGCGAAUCCCCAAACCACGUCUCAGUUCGGAUCGGAGUCUGCAACCCGACUCCGUGAAGCUGGAUUCGCUAGUAAUCGCGCAUCAGCCAUGGCGCGGUGAAUACGUUCCCGGGCCUUGUACACACCGCCCGUCAAGCCAUGGGAGCCGGGGGUACCUGAAGUCCGUAACCGCGAGGAUCGGCCUAGGGUAAAACUGGUGACUGGGGCU
rnacentral:rRNA from 1 species